GACGAACGCUGGCGGCGUGCCUAAUACAUGCAAGUAGAACGCGGAAGGAGGAGCUUGCUUCGCUGGAUGAGUUGCGAACGGGUGAGUAACGCGUAGGUAACCUGCCUGGUAGCGGGGGAUAACUUUUGGAAACGAUAGCUAAUACCGCAUAAUAGUAGAUGUUGCAUGACAUUUGCGUAAAAGGUGCAAUUGCAUCACUAGCAGAUGGACCUGCGUUGUAUCAGCUAGUUGUGGAGGUAACGGCUCACCAAGGCAACGAGACAUAGCCGACCUGAGAGGGUGCUCGGCCACACUGGGACUGGGACACGGCCCAGACUCCUACGAGAGGCAGCCGUAGGGAAUCUUCGGCAAUGGACGGAAGUCUGACCGAGCAACGCCGCGUGAGUGACGAAGGUUGUCGGGUCGUGAAGGUCUGUUGUACGAGAGGAACGUGUGUGAGAGUGGAAAGUUCACAUUGUGACGGUAUCUUACCAGAAAGCGCCGGCUAACUACGUG
rnacentral:rRNA from 1 species